UUAAUAUAAGCUAUUAGAAACAGAGUUCAGCGUCUGCCAUAGCAUUUGGCAGGAUAGUAAAUGGAAGUGCCUCCAUCCGAAUACAAUCAACAUUGCAAGUCAAGCUAAACUAUUCAAGGGCAUUAGCAAGUUUAUUAGUCUCGCUUAUUGAAUAUUGAAAGUAAACUGAACAGAAACUAAGUGCCUUGAUAUCAUCCACAAAUAGGCCCAGAGAUAGUGUGACUGCAAGUGGGCC
rnacentral:lncRNA from 1 species